GACGAACGCUGGCGGCGUGCUUAACACAUGCAAGUCGAACGAUGAACUUGGAGCUUGCUCUGGGGGAUUAGUGGCGAACGGGUGAGUAACACGUGAGUAACCUGCCCUGGACUCUGGGAUAACUUCGAGAAAUCGGAGCUAAUACCGGAUAGCACCUUGCACCGCAUGGUGCGGGGGGGACAGUUUUUCGGUGUGGGAUGGACUCGCGGCCUAUCAGCUUGUUGGUGAGGUAAUGGCUCACCAAGGCGUCGACGGGUAGCCGGCCUGAGAGGGUGACCGGCCACACUGGGACUGAGACACGGCCCAGACUCCUACGGGAGGCAGCAGUGGGGAAUAUUGCACAAUGGGCGCAAGCCUGACGCAGCAACGCCGCGUGCGGGAUGACGGCCUUCGGGUUGUAAACCGCUUUUAGUAGGGAAGAAGCCUUCGGGUGACGGUACCUGCAGAAAAAGGACCGGCUAACUACGUGCCAGCCGCCGCAGUAAGAC
rnacentral:rRNA from 1 species